rnacentral:rRNA from 1 species
UGACGAGCGUUAUCCGGAAUUACUGGGCGUAAAGCGCACGCACGCGGUCUAACAAGUCUGGCGUGAAGUCCUCUGGCUUAACCAGGGGCGGUCGCUGGAGACUGUUAAACUUGAGGCGAUGAGAGGGGUGCAGAAUUCCCGGUGUAGUGGUGGAAUGCGUAGAUAUCGGAAGGAACAUCAGUGGCGAAAGCGACUUCCUGGACCAAUACUGACGCUCAUGUGCGAAAGCGUGGGGAGCAAACAGG